UCUCUGGGUGACGAGCGGCGGACGGGUGAGUAAUGUCUGGGAAACUGCCUGAUGGAGGGGGAUAACUACUGGAAACGGUAGCUAAUACCGCAUAACGUCUUCGGACCAAAGUGGGGGACCUUCGGGCCUCACGCCAUCCGAUGUGCCCAGAUGGGAUUAGCUAGUAGGUGGGGUAAUGGCUCACCUAGGCGACGAUCCCUAGCUGGUCUGAGAGGAUGACCAGCCACACUGGAACUGAGACACGGUCCAGACUCCUACGGGAGGCAGCAGUGGGGAAUAUUGCACAAUGGGCGCAAGCCUGAUGCAGCCAUGCCGCGUGUGUGAAGAAGGCCUUCUGGUUGUAAAGCACUUUCAGCGAGGAGGAAGGGUGGUGUGUUAAUAGCGCAUCACAUUGACGUUACUCGCAGAAGAAGCACCGGCUAACUCCGUGCCAUCAACCGCGGUAAUACCGAGGGUGCAAGCGUUAAUCGCAAUUACUGGGCGUAAAGCGCACGCAGGCGGUUUGUUUAAGUCAGAUGUGAAAUCCCCGC
rnacentral:rRNA from 1 species